AAUCUUCCACAAUGGACGAAAGUCUGAUGGAGCAACGCCGCGUGAGUGAAGAAGGUUNNNGGAUCNUCAAGCUCUGUUGUGAGNGAANAACAAGUACAGUAGUCACUGUCUGUACCUUGACGGUACCUCACCAGAAAGCCACGGCUAAAUACGGGCCAGCAGCCGCGGUAAUACGUAGGAGGAAAGCGUUGUCCGGAAUUAUUGGGCGCAAAGCGCGCGCAGGCGGUCCUUUAAGUCUGAUGUGAAAGCCCACGGCUCAACCGUGGAGGGUCAUUGGAAACUGGAGGACUUGAGUACAGAAGAGGAAAGCGGAAUUCCACGUGUAGCGGUGAAAUGCGUAGAGAUGUGGAGGAACACCAGUGGCGAAGGCGGCUUUCUGGUCUGUAACUGACGCUGAGGCGCGAAAGCGUGGGGAGCAAAC
rnacentral:rRNA from 1 species